CUCCUACGGGCGGCCGCAGUGGGGAAUUUUGGGCAAUGGGCGAAAGCCUGAACCUGCAACCCCCGUGAAGGAUGAAAUCCCUCGGGAUGUAAACUUUGCAAGAAUGGGAAGAAUGAACGAGCGUUAAUACCGUUCGUGAUGACGGUACCACUUGAAAAAUCCCCCUAAAUCCGUGCCCCCACCCCCGCUAAUACGGGGGGCGCAAGCGUUUUUUUGUAUUUUCUGGGUGAAAAGAGCGUGUAGGCGGGCAGCGCAAGUCAGUCGUGAAAUAUCCGGGCUUAACUCGGAAAGGUCAACCAAUAUUGCGCGGCUAGAAGUGCAGGGAGAGGCAAAUGGAAUUUCUUGGUGUAGCUGUGGGAUAAGUAGAUAUCGAGAGGAACAUCCGGGGGCGAAGGCACCCUGCUGGGCCGACACUGACGCUCAGGCGCGAAAGCGAGGGGAGCGAACAGCAUUAGAUACCCCGCUAGUCCUCCCCUUAAACGAUGGAUGCUUGGUGUCUGGUGUGUGGUACUCCCCCGGUGCCGGAGCUAACGCAUUUAAUG
rnacentral:rRNA from 1 species